GUGUACUACAUUCCUCCCCAUAGAAAUGAUGCUGAAUACUAAGUAAAAUUAAUAUGCUUUUAGAGUUGUGUUGUGCUGGCACAUCCCACAUGCCUGUAUGAACAUAACAUGCAUUCUGUUCUGCAUUGCAUUAUUAGCAUGUCUAUUAUACAUAUAAUGCAUGGCAGACAUUUCUUUUCACGCAUCAUAAGCACACAUCUUUACCAUUUUACCUAGUGUGUAAAUCAGUAUACCAGCUUGCUUCAGAAUCCCAUUUUAUGGUAUUAUUCCAUCUG